rnacentral:rRNA from 1 species
UACGCAGGGUGCGAGCGUUGUCCGGAAUUAUUGGGCGUAAAGGGCUCGUAGGCGGUUUGUCGCGUCGGGAGUGAAAUCCACUGGCUUAACUGGUGGCUUGCUUUCGAUACGGGCAGACUGGAGGUAUGCAGGGGAGAACGGAAUUCCUGGUGUAGCGGUGAAAUGCGCAGAUAUCAGGAGGAACACCGGUGGCGAAGGCGGUUCUCUGGGCCGAAACUGACGCUGAGGAGCGAAAGCGUGGGGAGCAAACAGG